GACGAACGCUGGCGGCGUGCUUAACACAUGCAAGUCGAACGGAAAGGCCCUGCUUUUGUGGGGUGCUCGAGUGGCGAACGGGUGAGUAACACGUGAGUAACCUGCCCUUGACUUUGGGAUAACUUCAGGAAACUGGGGCUAAUACCGGAUAGGAGCUCCUGCUGCAUGGUGGGGGUUGGAAAGUUUCGGCGGUUGGGGAUGGACUCGCGGCUUAUCAGCUUGUUGGUGGGGUAGUGGCUUACCAAGGCCUUGACGGGUAGCCGGCCUGGGAGGGUGACCGGCCACAGUGGGACUGAGAUACGGCCCAGACUCCUACGGGAGGCAGCAGUGGGGAAUAUUGCACAAUGGGCGGAAGCCUGAUGCAGCAACGCCGCGUGCGGGAUGACGGCCUUCGGGUUGUAACCCGCUUUCGCCUGUGACGAAGCGUGAGUGACGGUAAUGGGUAAAGAAGCAACGGCUAACUACGUG
rnacentral:rRNA from 1 species